rnacentral:rRNA from 1 species
AUUGAACGCUGGCGGCACGCCUUACACAUGCAAGUCGAACGGCAGCACGGGGGCAACCCUGGUGGCGAGUGGCGAACGGGUGAGUAAUGCAUCGGAACGUGCCCAGUAGUGGGGAUAACUAGUCGAAAGAUUAGCUAAUACCGCAUACGACCUAUGGGUGAAAGCGGGGACCUUUACUGGCCUCGCGCUAUUGGAGCGGCCGAUGUCUGAUUAGCUAGUUGGCGGGGUAAAAGCCCACCAAGGCGACGAUCAGUAGCUGGUCUGAGAGGACGACCAGCCACACUGGGACUGAGACACGGCCCAGACUCCUACGGGAGGCAGCAGUGGGGAAUUUUGGACAAUGGGCGCAAGCCUGAUCCAGCCAUGCCGCGUGCGGGAAGAA